rnacentral:rRNA from 1 species
UAGGGAAUCUUCCGCAAUGGACGAAAGUCUGACGGAGCAACGCCGCGUGAGUGAAGAAGGAUUUCGGUUCGUAAAACUCUGUUGUUAGGGAAGAAAAAAUGUAUAGUAACUAUAUACAAAAGAGACGGUACCUAACCAGAAAGCCACGGCUAACUACGUGCCAGCAGCCGCGGUAAUACGUAGGUGGCAAGCGUUGUCCGGAAUUAUUGGGGGUAAAGCGCGCGCAGGUGGUUUAGAAAGUCUGAUGUGAAAGCCCACGGCUCAACCGUGGAGGGUCAUUGGAAACUAAUAAACUUGAGUGCAGGAGAGGAAAGUGGAAUUCCUAGUGUAGCGGUGAAAUGCGUAGAGAUUAGGAGGAACACCGGUGGCGAAAGCGGCUUUUUGGCCUGCAACUGACACUGAGGCGCGAAAGCGUGGGGAGCAAACAGG